GCGGUCACGUUAUCGGACUUUUGGGCGUAAGCGCGCGCACGCGGUUUCUUAAGUCUGAUGUGAAAGCCCAGCGGCUCAACCCUGGAGGGUCAUUGGAGACUGGGAGACUUGAGUGCAGAAGAGGAGAGUGGAAUUCCAUGUGUAGCGGUGAAAUGCGUAGAGAUAUGGAGGAACACCAGUGGCGAAGGCGACUUUCUGGUCUGUAACUGACACUGAGGCGCGAAAGCGUGGGGAGCAAACAGGAUUAGAUACCCUGGUAGUCCACGCCGUAACGAUGAGUGCUAAGUGUUGGGGUUUCCGCCCUUUGUGCUGAAGUUAACGCAUUAAGCACUCCGCCUGGGGAGUACGGCCGCAGGCUGAAACUCAAAGGAUUGACGGGGGCCGCACAAGCGGUGGAGCAUGUGGUUUAAUUCGAACAACGCGAAAAACCUUACCAGGUCUUGACAUCCUCUGAAACCCUAGAGACCGGCUUCUCCUUCUGGAGAGAGUGACAGGUGGUGUAUGGUUGUCGUCUGCUCGUGUCGCGAGAUGUUGGGUUAUGUCCCGCAACGAGCGCAACCCUUGAUCUUAUUUGCCCUCAUUAAAUUGGGCACUCUAAGGUGACUGCCGGUGACAAACCGGAGGAGAGUGGGGAUGACAUCACAUCAUCAUGCCCCUUAUGACCUGGGCUACACACGUGCUACACUGGACGGUACACAGAGCUGCACGAUCGCGAGGUGGAGCUAAUCUCAUAAAACCGUUCUCAGUUCCGAUUGUAUGCUGCAACUCGCCUACAUGAAGCUGGGAUCGCUAGUAAUCGCGGAUCGCAUGCCCGGGUGAAAAUCCUUCCCGGGCCUUGUACACACCGCCCGUCACACCAUGAGAGUUUGUAACACCCGAAGUCGGUGGCGUACCCUUUUGGAAGCAGCCGACCUAAGGUGGACAAUGAUUGGGUAUCUACAAAAAAAAACACAAAACAAAGAAAAAAAAAAAAAAAAA
rnacentral:rRNA from 1 species